rnacentral:rRNA from 1 species
AGUGAACGCUGGCGGCAGGCCUAACACAUGCAAGUCGAACGGCAGCACAGUAAGAGCUUGCUCGUACGGGUGGCGAGUGGCGGACGGGUGAGGCAUACAUCGCAAUCUACUUUUUCUUGGGGGAUAACGUGGGGAAACUUACGCUAAUACCGCAUACGACCUACGGGUGAAAGCAGGGGAUCUUCGGACCUUGCGCGAUUGAAUGAGCCGAUGUCGCAUUAGCUAGUUGGCGGGGUAAAGGCCCACCAAGGCGACGAUCCGUAGCUGGUCUGAGAGGAUGAUCGGCCACACUGGAACUGAGACACGGUCCAGACUCCUACGGGAAGCAGCAGUGGGGAAUAUUGGACAAUGGGCGAAAGCCUGAUGCAGCCAUACCGCGUGAGUGAUGAAGGCCUUCGGGUUGUAAAGCCCUUUUGUUGGGAAAGAAAAGCAGCAGGUUAAUACCCGGCUGUUCUGACGGUACCCAAUGAAUAAGCACCGGCUAACUUCGUG